UACGUAGGGGGCAAGCGUUGUCCGGAUUCAUUGGGCGUAAAGAGCUUGUAGGCGGUCUGUCGCGUCUGCUGUGAAAAUCCGGGGCUCAACCCCGGACUUGCAGUGGGUACGGGCAGACUAGAGUGUGGUAGGGGAGACUGGAAUUCCUGGUGUAGCGGUGGAAUGCGCAGAUAUCAGGAGGAACACCGAUGGCGAAGGCAGGUCUCUGGGCCACUACUGACGCUGAGAAGCGAAAGCAUGGGGAGCGAACAGG
rnacentral:rRNA from 1 species